AGUUCCCGUUCUGCAGCUCCCCGUUCACGUUCUGCAUGGACAGGAUCUCCAACUCGAACUGACCCGAGGCCCCACACACCUGCCGGCGAGGGAAGGAGGUUGGACCAUAUAUUAUGGGAGCACCUUUUGCAAGGAUGAAAUACUCCGUCUGGAUGGAUGGGAAUAAUUCAGCUGGGGAUUUGGAGGCCCUAAAGGGCAGUGUAGCCAAUGGACAGGUGAUCCCAGGUACCUGCAUGAGUGGAGGCAGGCCCUUCCUGCAGACCUGCACUGAACUAUAACGUGGGCAUACAGGGCUGGCCUGAGUGAUCAAUAGAAUACUGUAGACGCAACAACAUGUGGCUUCUGAGGAAGCAUUGUAGCCUCUUGGUUUGUUCAUGCUGUGGAAGCCAGCUGCCAUGUCAAGAGGAUGCUCAAGCAGCCAUGUGGAAAGGCCCGUAUGCAACUCUCAGAAAGAAGAGUCUAUGUCCCUGUACACAGAAUCUGG
rnacentral:lncRNA from 10 species